GACGAACGCUGGCGGCGUGCUUAACACAUGCAAGUCGAACGGAAAGGCCUGCUUUCCCUUGUGGAUUGCGGGUACUCGAGUGGCGAACGGGUGAGUAACACGUGAGUGAUCUGCCCCCAACUUGGGUAUAAGCCUGGGAAACUGGGUCUAAUUCCCGAUAGGACUGCAGGGUGGUGCCUGUGGUUGAAAACGAUUUUCUAGUGGUCGGGGAUGAGCUCGUGGCCUAUGAGCUUGUUGGUGGGGUAAUGGCCUACCAAGGCGGCGACGGGGCGCCGGCCUGGGAGGGGGGACGGCCACAUUGAGACUGAGAUACGGCCCAGACGCCUAGGGGAGGCAGCAGUGGGGAAUAAUGGAGAGUGGGCGGAAGCCUGAUGCAGCGACGCCGCGUGGGGGAUGACGGGCUUCGGGUUGUAAACUCCUUUCGACCGAGAGGAAGCCACCUGGUUGGAAGGGUGGUGACGGUAGUGGUAGAAGAAGCACCGGCUAACUACGUG
rnacentral:rRNA from 1 species